GCAACUCGCCUGCACGAAGUCGGAAUUGCUAGUAAUCGUAGGUCAGCAUACUACGGUGAAUACGUUCCCGGGCCUUGUACACACCGCCCGUCAAACCAUGAGAGUUGGCAACACCCGAAGUCGGUAGUCUAACCGCAAGGAGGACGCCGCCGAAGGUGGGGUUGAUGAUUAGGGUUAAGUCGUAACAAGGUAGC
rnacentral:rRNA from 1 species